rnacentral:rRNA from 1 species
GGCGGGACACGUGGUAUCCUGUCUGAAUAUGGGGGGACCAUCCUCCAAGGCUAAAUACUCCUGACUGACCGAUAGUGAACCAGUACCGUGAGGGAAAGGCGAAAAGAACCCCGGCGAGGGGAGUGAAAAAGAACCUGAAACCGUGUACGUACAAGCAGUGGGAGCACCCUUUGGGGUGUGACUGCGUACCUUUUGUAUAAUGGGUCAGCGACUUAUAUUCUGUAGCAAGGUUAACCGAAUAGGGGAGCCGGAGGGAAACCGAGUCUUAACCGGGCGUUAAGUUGCAGGGUAUAGACCCGAAACCCGGUGAUCUAGCCAUGGGCAGGUUGAAGGUUGGGUAACACUAACUGGAGGACCGAACCGACUAAUGUUGAAAAAUUAGCGGAUGACCUGUGGCUGGGGGUGAAAGGCCAAUCAAACCGGGAGAUAGCUGGUUCUCCCCGAAAGCUAUUUAGGUAGCGCCUCGUGAAUUCAUCUCCGGGGGUAGAGCACUGUUUCGGCUAGGGGGCCAUCCCGGCUUACCAACCCGAUGCAAACUGCGAAUACCGGAGAAUGUUAUCACGGGAGACACACGGCGGGUGCUAACGUCCGUCGUGAAGAGGGAAACAACCCAGACCGCCAGCUAAGGUCCCAAAGUCAUGGUUAAGUGGGAAACGAUGUGGGAAGGCCCAGACAGCCAGGAUGUUGGCUUAGAAGCAGCCAUCAUUUAAAGAAAGCGUAAUAGCUCACUGGUCGAGUCGGCCUGCGCGGAAGAUGUAACGGGGCUAAACCAUGCACCGAAGCUGCGGCAGCGACACUCAGGUGUUGUUGGGUAGGGGAGCGUUCUGUAAGCCUGUGAAGGUGUGCUGUGAGGCAUGCUGGAGGUAUCAGAAGUGCGAAUGCUGACAUAAGUAACGAUAAAGCGGGUGAAAAGCCCGCUCGCCGGAAGACCAAGGGUUCCUGUCCAACGUUAAUCGGGGCAGGGUGAGUCGACCCCUAAGGCGAGGCCGAAAGGCGUAGUCGAUGGGAAACGGGUUAAUAUUCCCGUACUUGGUGUUACUGCGAAGGGGGGACGGAGAAGGCUAUGUUGGCCGGGCGACGGUUGUCCCGGUUUAAGCGUGUAGGUGUGUGUUCCAGGUAAAUCCGGUUCACUUUAACACUGAGGCGUGAUGACGAGGCACUACGGUGCUGAAGCAACAAAUGCCCUGCUUCCAGGAAAAGCCUCUAAGCAUCAGGUAACAUCAAAUCGUACCCCAAACCGACACAGGUGGUCAGGUAGAGAAUACCAAGGCGCUUGAGAGAACUCGGGUGAAGGAACUAGGCAAAAUGGUGCCGUAACUUCGGGAGAAGGCACGCUGACAUGUAGGUGAAGUGAUUUACUCAUGGAGCUGAAGUCAGUCGAAGAUACCAGCUGGCUGCAACUGUUUAUUAAAAACACAGCACUGUGCAAACACGAAAGUGGACGUAUACGGUGUGACGCCUGCCCGGUGCCGGAAGGUUAAUUGAUGGGGUCAGCGCAAGCGAAGCUCCUGAUCGAAGCCCCGGUAAACGGCGGCCGUAACUAUAACGGUCCUAAGGUAGCGAAAUUCCUUGUCGGGUAAGUUCCGACCUGCACGAAUGGCGUAAUGAUGGCCAGGCUGUCUCCACCCGAGACUCAGUGAAAUUGAACUCGCUGUGAAGAUGCAGUGUACCCGCGGCAAGACGGAAAGACCCCGUGAACCUUUACUAUAGCUUGACACUGAACAUUGAGCCUUGAUGUGUAGGAUAGGUGGGAGGCUUUGAAGUGUGGACGCCAGUCUGCAUGGAGCCGACCUUGAAAUACCACCCUUUAAUGUUUGAUGUUCUAACGUGGACCCGUGAUCCGGGUUGCGGACAGUGUCUGGUGGGUAGUUUGACUGGGGCGGUCUCCUCCUAAAGAGUAACGGAGGAGCACGAAGGUUGGCUAAUCCUGGUCGGACAUCAGGAGGUUAGUGCAAUGGCAUAAGCCAGCUUGACUGCGAGCGUGACGGCGCGAGCAGGUGCGAAAGCAGGUCAUAGUGAUCCGGUGGUUCUGAAUGGAAGGGCCAUCGCUCAACGGAUAAAAGGUACUCCGGGGAUAACAGGCUGAUACCGCCCAAGAGUUCAUAUCGACGGCGGUGUUUGGCACCUCGAUGUCGGCUCAUCACAUCCUGGGGCUGAAGUAGGUCCCAAGGGUAUGGCUGUUCGCCAUUUAAAGUGGUACGCGAGCUGGGUUUAGAACGUCGUGAGACAGUUCGGUCCCUAUCUGCCGUGGGCGCUGGAGAACUGAGGGGGGCUGCUCCUAGUACGAGAGGACCGGAGUGGACGCAUCACUGGUGUUCGGGUUGUCAUGCCAAUGGCACUGCCCGGUAGCUAAAUGCGGAAGAGAUAAGUGCUGAAAGCAUCUAAGCACGAAACUUGCCCCGA